rnacentral:lncRNA from 1 species
GCCGGACCGCGGCGGCGUGUUAUCUAGGGUUUGCGGUGACUUUGCCCCACGCCAUCCACGCGCGAACCUCUCCAUCCGCUAGGUUUGGGCUACCGUGUCGCUGGUGUGCCUCUGUCAUUGUUCCGGUGACCCAGGUGAGUCCCUCCCCUCUUCCUCGUCACAUUCAUCCCACUUUUCCUCACCACGUCCCCUCUCCCUCUCAGAUCUGUCGUCGCUCGAGCUCCGGGACGCCAUGGACUGGAUGGCCACUUCCUCCCCUGCUCCGACGCCAUAGAGGACGCCUCCUCACUGCCACGUCUACUUGCUGCCGCGUCUCUCUGUGGUGGUCUAUUGGUUGUGAUCUCAAUCCGCCCCAAUGGAUUCGCCGACGUUGGUGUGCACUGGGCAGCUCAAGGACACGCUUUAAUUCCAGGUAAAAAAGAGUGAAUUCAGGAGGUGUUCUUCAUUACUUGGAUUCUUUAGGUGUUAAGAUGCCCAUCGCCUUUGUGGCACCAUGACAGGAUCACCACCCCUGCAGGACAUCCUGAAGACUUAGAUCUAAAACCCGAAUAUUAGAAUGAAACAUCAUGGCUGGUAUAAAUUUAACCUCCUGUUUUCUCAAAAUUUGGUAUGUUGGAUGUUGUGUCAUUGCACCUGUUGAUAGCCGUCUUCAACGUUGAAAGUAUUCAAGCUGAAAUUGAGCUAUGGUAGGAUUUUGAUACGCAGGUUGUAGAGCAAAACUUUUGGACCUACAGAUUAUUCACAAGUUCUCCAUUGUUAGCAGUAACUGCUUAACUAGAAUUUUUAGACCUGGUUAUGAGGUAAAAUUACAAUAGUUAAAUCUUUUAUCUUUAUGUUGCCUGAUCUGAAGUCGGGUUUCUUUUCAAGCAUGUCUAACAUCUACAGGGAAUUAUUGAGAAAAAUAAUGUAAGGAGAUUUUUUGUGGUACAUGUGGAUGAACAUAUAGUCGGUUAUUAUCUGCUGCCCUUCUUUUAUUAUAUAUGUGGCUCAUUGUAUGUAGGCUUAUCUAUGCAUUAUUAUUUGAUGCUCUAUCAUGUUAGUUUCCUUGGUCUGGUUUUUGAGCCGUGCCAUAAUUUUUUUCUUGCUGGCAGCAAUAGCGGGAGUGCCAUAUUGGACAAAGGAAGAGGAUGAGAAGAAAUGAGGCUUGGGCGUGAGUGGGUGCUGGGUGGCGGCGGCCUUCCACUACCUGCCCCAUGGCACCUCACUCUACCGCGGUGGCAAGUAUGAUUGACUUCCACAACUCCAGCCUCUAUGUGCAUGUAUAUACGCCACCGACCACGAACACUAGAUUUAGCUUGCUUGUAUAAUAUAAUGUGACUUAUGCACUGUCCUCUCAUUUAUUUACAUAUAAUGGAGAUUUCAAAUAUGUUGUUAUGCUGGAGGACGAGUCUCCUUAGGCCAGCAACAGUGGGGAGCUACAAAAUUACCUUACCUGAUCUGAACUGUGAGCACCUGAUGAUUAUCUGAACUGUGAGCACCUGAUGAUUUUGCGUGUGCAAAUAAAUGGUGGUCAAAAUAAUACUUUUGGUUGUGACUUACUAUUCCUUAGCCUAUAUGUAUGUCUUAGUUAAACUUGAAUCAUUGGUUUCUCCUAUGAUGCUAUGUGAUUCAGUAAUAAAUUAAUAGACUUGAAUAUUUCUUGUUCGGAUCAGUCUUGUGUGGAAGAUAUGACCUUCUUUGAAUACUCUGCUCAUUAUAUGUUGCUCAAGGGUUCCCCUUCAUAGCUCUUGUUCUUGUUUUUAUUUAUCUAAGAAACAUCUUGCAUGCUACAAAAGUCAUAUUAGCUAAACUUGCCUCGUAGUAGUCUCCAUAAAAGCGGUUGUAUUUUGAUUUUAAAUCUAUUUGUUUGCUGCAGCGGAAUGCUCAUCACCUCGUAGGGAAGAUUUGAACCAAGUGACCGCAAGGAUUGUUUGACAAUGUGUAGGUCAAUCUCACCCUUGUGGAGAAAUACUAUUUUUUCUCCAGAUUUAGCCUACACUGUCCAGGUUGUAUGCUUCUUCUGAGAUCCCAUCAAGGUAAUGCUCUUCCCCCACAUGUUGUUCUUGCAAGGAAAGUAUAAACAAGAUACAAGUGAGUGUUUAUGGGGUUGCUUGUUCGUAUGAUUUGUUCAUGUGCUUCAUGUUAUAAUUCCAUUCAAGUAAAGACCAAAGAAACAAGCUACCCUCUUUACUAUUGAAGUUUUGCAACCAUGUUAAUAGUUAAUGCAAAUUGCUGGACUCUUCUGGGAAGAUAAUUUCAAUAGUUUAUUUCUGUAACUACUUGUUAGCCUUUUCUUGUUCAACAAUAAAGGUUGAGAUCCCUACAAGAAAUGGUUCUGAUUGGUACUCCUUAGAUUUAAACUAAUGAAUUAUGUUAAGUUUUAUAUAUGAGGUUGUGUUUCUGCCAUGUACACUGUGUGUGCAUGUGUUGUUUGUGUCGAGGUUAACUUAUAGUUUGCAAUCAGUUUGGUUUGGUUUUUUAUGAGCUGUGUUGUGUUGUGUUGUGCUGCUCAUGGUUGUGUUGUUUAUUGUAUUGUGUUAAAGGUGCAUGAUUCACAUAUCUUGAUCCUGGAAGUUAUUGAUGUGAGCUUUUUCUGCACAAAGUGUUGAGAGCUACAUAGGAAUAAUCUUGCAAGUCCUGAAAUUUCUAUGGGAGCAUGUCUUAAUGUUUUGUGUUUCUAUUCAUUGAUGUGAACUCUUAAGUCUCACUGGUGAAUGUAAAACCACCAUUUGUCUUUCGUUUGCUCAUAUUUUGUAUGCUUUCUUAUGUUUGAUUAUUCCAAUUACCAGGAUGGUCUGAAGCACUCAGAACAAGCGGAGGGUAGGAGGGCACUAGAAGCUUUGUUUCUCAUUGAUGUUAUGUGUGAUCAACUAAAACUUGUGCUUCUCAUCCAAUCUUUGUAGAACUAUGUUGUUGUGCGCUUGUGCACUUGUUGGUUCCUUUUGUUGUGCACUUGCACUGGUAGAACUACUUUUCUUUGCACUUUUAGAAUUAUUUUGAUGUGCACUUGUUGGGCCUUGAACCUUGGAUGUGUAGAGGAGUCGAUGGAUGAUGUAUUUUAUUUCAUGUGAUUUGCUACUUGUAGGAGAUAUGCCCUAGAGGCAAUAAUAAAUGAUAUUAUUUAUCUCCGAGUUCAUAAUUA